rfam:Eutrema salsugineum unplaced genomic scaffold scaffold_13, whole genome shotgun sequence.
CUGGAGUGAUGAUUCUUAGCCAAAUCAGAUACGUGCUCCAAGAGGCACUUUGCUGGGUUUCUUGAGUUGAGUCACCAUAAUGAUCUCCUUUGGAACCCUAAUAGCUAAUAGUGUGCCUCUUGUUGUAGUAUGUCUUGGAUGAUACCACAGAGAUGGGUAAAAGUCUGACCAGA